rnacentral:lncRNA from 1 species
GCCUGGUUAAAAAUUGCCAGGUUGAAGGCUUCCUUCUCUAAUAUACAAAUUAAUUAUUUACUGCUCACGUUGCUGUGUCCAGAAAUAACACUUUUGAUUUGGUAAUGAGAAUAGAAAACAACCCAUCCCCUACUCAGAAGAGCAGUAAAAACCCACUGCAUGAACCGAACCGCUGUAGGGGUGAGAGGACCAAGAGUGGCAUUUGUACUCAGUGGUAGGGAUGUAAGCAUUUAAAUCCCAAAAGAAAUAUCCUGAAUUUGAUCGUGAUGGUGCUGGUUAUUAUCUGAAUUCAGUUUGUUACUGCUCAUUGUCAUUCAUUUUUACAUCAUCACAUAGAGAAUCACUAACAUUCUGUUCAAAGGGGACCUUAGAGAUCAUUUAACCCAACCCCUUCAUUCCAUAUGCAUACCUUGGCUUUACAGAAGGGGUCAAUGAAGCUCUAGGAGUAUUCUGUCUUCUAUCACACAGCUAAGUUGGAAUGCCUACAACUCGGAGCUAUCCCAAGUGUGACUUUAGACAAAUUUCUUCCCCACUCUGGGCCUCAGUUUCCCUAUCUGUAGCAAUGGCAGAGUUGGACUGGAUACUCCCUGAGUUCUUUCCAGUUCUGAUCUUGAAUACCUCUAUGUAUCCAUCCUUUGUGUGACAGUGCUCAGGAGCAAACUCCUUGUAUGUCUUGGAGUUCUGGAAGCAUCUGGGUAUAGAAGUUACUGCAUGUUUUUUCCAUCAUUCAGAGUCUUAUAUCCCAGAGCAGUGAGUGGUUACUCAGACUGACUCUAGUCCACUGAAAUCUAGACUGCCCCUCCUCCUGAAGGUAUCUUCAUUUUCAACAGGAGUCAAGGCUAAGAGCAACGGUGAUAGAAAGGAGUGGAGAAAGAGUCUAGCUAGCUGGGUUGUGCUGAGAUUGACAUUUGGAAAGGGUCUAAUGAAGAAGGGGCUCAGCCUCACCAAAUAGGGCCCUCUCCCUGCUAGGUACUAGGUGAAGGCUAGAGUAUCUCCUAUCUUACCAGAGCCUAGGGCCUGAACUGUGGUUUCGGAGUUUAGAUUCUGUGACAGCAGGUGCACUCUCCACAGCUUUUCCCUUGACUUCUGGACCUCUGGACUUUCUCUUUGUAGGAGGGGGUGUAUAUGUAGGAUGCUAUAGCACUAUUCUAGGUGUCCUUUCAGGGCAACCAGGACAGAAAGCCUGCAAGUGAAAGACCCCUACUCUAUUUUUAUUAUUAUUAUUAUUAUUAUUAUUAUUAUUAUUAUUAUUAUUAUUUGUGCUGAGAAUUUAACCCAGGGCUUUGCACAUAC